UGUAACUUCUUUUUUUUUAGAUUUUAAAAAGAUUUUUGUUUGUAGGAAUAAUCUGAGCACGUAUAUUAAUGAUCUAUAUAUUAUUAAAAAGAGGAUAGUUUGUCAUAUGAUUGUGACAAGUGACUUAAGUAGAUCUUGACACAUGUAAAAUUUUAGGAUAGAAAACCAAUUAUAAUAACUAAUAUUAAAAAAAUCCAAGUGGCAUCUCAAAUAGAAGGCAAGUGUUAUAUAUUUGGACAGAGCUAACUACCCUUGUAAUUAAUAUAAAUUUUGAAUUUGAUUUAAAUUUCAUUGGAAUUAUUUUAAGUUGAAUUGUGGUAACUGGUAACCGUGCAUUAUCCAAGGCACGUUGGACUCUCUUUUUUGGAGGUUUUCAGGUGAAUAACCAUUCACAUUUCAAUAAGAACAACUAUAUUUUAUUCUUUAAAUAGAAGGGAGUGUGGCCUAGGAUUAUUACAAGUUGUUAUGUUAAUUUAUUUAUUUAUUCAUUUGAAUUGACAUAUAAAAAAUAAAAAACAAAAGUACUUUUGGGUCAUCACAAUUCACAUCUUUACAUACUUUUAGGGUGAAAAUAUGUUGAAAGGACAGCACAUCUGCUAUUUUAAAAAAUCAAACAAAAAAACAAAAGGAUAAGGAAGAAAAGACCAAAAGAAAUUAACCCAAACCAACCCCCUCACCCACGUAUCCCUAACUUCCCAUUUCCCUGACUUCCCAAUCACCUUUAUUGCUUAUAGUUCUACUGUUUCUGUUUUCAUGUACUAAAAUAAGGAAUAGAGUCGAGAUACAAGAUAUGUAAACCAUGUUAAAAGUUACACAGAAAUAAUUUUGGAAGGUAUCAUGGAAGCAAAUGCCUUAAACCAAAAACAGAAAAUUACAUCAGAAGCUUGAUAAAAGUUCACGAUGUACCUAUACUGAAAGUUCUUUGAAUAUAAAUUAUUUACAUAUCUAGAUAAUACUAUUUUUGUUGAUAGAUUUAAGUUGAACUAUAAAAUAUAUUGAAUUGAAAGAAAAAAAAAUGUUGAUGUUGUUAGUUUUAUUUGAAAUAAAAGUGUUGUUAUACUCUAAUCAAUCUUAUAUUUAUGAUAAAACAUACUUUGAGCUGACAAAUUAAAUUUUGGAACGUGAAUGAUAUAGAAAUGCUAUAUAAUAGGAAGAAACUAGAACCGCAACUCUCCUCCCAAUUUUAAAAAAUAUAAACAUAGAUAUAAACCUAAAUCUUCUAUAAACUCAAAUACUUUGUUAAUACUACUCUUGCUACUUCUAUAAACUUUUUUUUUUUUAUUUGUUAAUACUAGACUCUUGCCACUUAGAUUUGGUUCUAAUUGGUUAUGUUUAUGUUGGUUUCAUGUAACUUCUUUUCUUUUCGAUUCUAAAAAGUUUUUUGUUUGUAGGAAUAAUAUAAGCACGUAUAUUAAUGAUUUAUAUAUUAUUAAAAAGAGAAUAGUUUGUCAUAGGAUUGUGAUAAGUGGCUUAACUAGAUCUUGACACAUGUAUAAUUUUAGGACAGAAAACCAAUUCUAUUAACUAAUUUUAAAAAGUCCAAGUGGCAUCUCAAAUAGAAGGCAAUUGUUAUAUAUUUGGACAAAGCUAACUAUCUUUGUAAUUAAUAUAACUUUUGAAUUUUAAAAUUUAGAAUUUGAUUUAAAUUUCUGGAAUUUUUUUAAAUUGAAUUGUAGUAACUGGUAACUCUGCAUAAUCCAAGGCACGUUGGACUCUCUUUUUUGGAGGUUUUAAGGUGAAUAACCAUUCACAUUUCAAUAAGAACAACUAUAUUUUAUUCUUUAAAUAAAAGGGAGUGUGGCCUAGGAUUAUUACAACUGGUUGUGUUAAUUUAUUUAUUUAUUCAUUUGAAUUGACAUAUAAAAAAAAAAACUUAUGUUUAGGUCAUCACAAUUCACAGCUUUACAUACAUUUAUGGUGAAAAUUUGUUGAAAAGAUAGCAUAUCUGUUAUUUUAAAAGAGAAAAAAAAAGGGAUAAGGAAGAAAAAGACCCAAACAAAUUUACCUAAACCAACCCCCCUCACCCACAUAUCUCUUACUUCCCAUUUCCCUAACUUCCCAAUCACCUUUAUCGCUUAUAGUUCCAAUGGUUCUGUUUUCAUGUACUAAAAUAAGCAAUAGAGUCGAGAUACAAGAUAUGUAAACCAUGUUAAAAGUUACGCAGAAAUAAUUUUGGAAGGUAUCAUGGAAGCAUUUACCUUAAAUCAAAAAUAGAAAAUUACAUUAGAAGCUAGAUAAAAGUUCAUGGUGUACCUAUACUGAACUUUCUUUGCAUAUAAAUUAUUUACAGUUCUAGAUAAUACUAUUUUUGUUGAUAGAUUUAAGUUGAACUAUAAAAUAUAUUGAAUUGAAAGAAAAAAAAAUUGAUGUUGUUAGUUUGAUUUGAAAUAAAAGUGUUGUUAUGCUCUAAUCAAUCUUAUCUUUGUGAUAAAACAUACUUUGAGCUUGAAUGAUAUAGAAAUGCUAUAUAAUUGGAAGAAACUAGAACCGCAGCUCUCCUCCCAAUUUAAUAAAUAUAAACAUCGAUAUAAACCCAAAUCUUGUAUAAACUAAAAUACUUUGUUAAUACUAGACUCUUGCUACUUCUAUAAACUUUUUUUUUUUUGGUUAAUACUAGUCUCUUGCUACUUAGAUGUUGUUGUAAUUGCUCAUGUUUAUGUUGGUUUCAUGUC